AUUGAACGCUGGCGGCAGGCCUAACACAUGCAAGUCGAGCGGAUGAGGGAAGCUUGCUUCCCGAUUUAGCGGCGGACGGGUGAGUAAUGCCUAGGAAUCUGCCUAUUAGUGGGGGAUAACGUUCCGAAAGGAACGCUAAUACCGCAUACGUCCUACGGGCGAAAGUGGGGGAUCUUCGGACCUCACGCUAAUAGAUGAGCCUAGGUCGGAUUAGCUAGUUGGUGAGGUAACGGCUCACCAAGGCGACGAUCCGUAGCUGGUCUGAGAGGAUGAUAAGCCACACUGGAACUGAGACACGGUCCAGACUCCUACGGGAGGCAGCAGUGGGGAAUAUUGGACAAUGGGCGAAAGCCUGAUCCAGCCAUGCCGCGUGUGUGAAGAAGGUCUUCGGAUUGUAAAGCACUUUAAGUUGGGAGGAAGGGUUGUAAGCUAAUAUCUUGCAGCUUUGACGUUACCAACAGAAUAAGCACCGGCUAACUCUGUGCCAGCCGCCGCAGUAAGAC
rnacentral:rRNA from 1 species